UUGUUCGUGUGCGGUGUUCGUGUUCCCUUCUCGUACUCGAAUAUAAAAUGGCUGUUUAGAGUUUUAUUUCAACGAUAUAUAUUUUAACUUUGUUCAAAAUAUAUGCAUAAAUACAUUUAGUAGAAUGUUUAAUUUUAUUCUUUGUGUAAAAUCUAUAGAACUACAGUACAGUGAAACAUUUUAUGAAAUCAAUAACUUGUUCGGUUAAGUUGGUGGGGCUUGCAAUUGUCCCUUUCUUUCGUCUAUCGUUUUCUCGGUCCAUUUCGUGUCGUGCGUUCUCCUUGUGUGCAGUGUCGUUCCCGAUAUUUUCCUUGAUAACUUCUUAAGAAAACCAUGUUAUUUUUAAUGAAGUAAAUUUAAAGAAGUAUUGGUGAUGUUGACCUUAGGUUUAUUGUUAUUUUGCAAAAAACCAUCCUCAUUUACCGCCACGGUACGCCAAAAAUUUAGAAAGCUUCAACCACGUUUCGGAUUUCGAUUGAUGAAACUAUGAACCUGGACUCUUUAACCUUUAGCUUAUCACGAAUCCAUUAUCUUGUUAUAAAUUUAAGUAAGAAGAACUUCAAGCAAACAAGUCAAGAGUUGUCACUGAUUGUCAGUCACUAUGGCUUGGAAGCGGAAAAUCAGUUGCUGAGGUCUUUGCUCACGGAAGCAGCAAAGACUUCUUUGGAUACUGAUCGCACAGGCCCAGCAGUCAACAGCAUUCAUGCUACUCUUCUGGCUCAGUAUUUGGGUUCGUUGUUGAGCCAUCCUGCCAAGUCGACUGUCGUCUGUCAGGCUGUGGACAACCCCAAUCGUUCUGUGCAGAAGAUUUUAAAACCUUCUAACACUUUACUCAAUCGUCUUUCAAGAUUGUUGAAGUUAACAACUGCCGAAGAUGUCACCUUGUCGUUGGUGUUGAGGCGAUAUUCGUCCAAGACUGAGAUUACAGCGCUAGCAAAACAACAUCUGAAGAAAAGAUUCUUAGAUCUAGUACAGUGUUAUUUAGAUGCUGAGCAUGGUCAUCAGGCUGAGCGUGCAGGCCUUCAGGAAUGCAGCCCUGAAGUUUUGCAAACUCUCCUUAUAAGUCUCGCGUACGAGAACUUUCGCCUCGCUCCGGUAACAAAAGAGUUAUUUGUGAAACGUUUACGUGUUGACUUCCCUCGAGAAGUCGUGCCAAUAGUGUUAGCACCGUUGCUUUAUCCCGACGAUACACAAACCCCGUUGGAGGAAAUGAGCACUGCCGACGACAUGGCGGUCGCAAUGAUGGAUAACUCAUUAGCGGAUAUCAUCCGCGAUAUUGGAUACAACUUUACAUCAUCAUUCGAAGAAUGCAAGAACAACAUGUUGAACUUUGGAGCGCGAGAGCCUACCGCAAUAGAUAUUGCGCGUAUAAUUUCGAUGAUGGUGCGUUAUCAUACCACAGUGCCCGAUGGGCCCCCGAUUCAAACUCCGGGAAACUUCUGGACGAAUCACGAAGCAAAGAAAGAGGCAAUUACACAUGGACAUGGAGAAUCCUGGAAUGCAGAGAUAUUUGUACAGACAUUGAAAGAGCUGGCAUCUAACCUGAAUUGGAAAGAAGUCAUAUUGCAACUGGACCAUCCAGAAUUUAUUGUCCCAGACAGACAGGGACUGAGCCUAUUGUUCUCCAUCUUGCGUUUAGGUCUACAGAGUGCAGGCUAUCCAUCCAACAUAUUCCCCGUGGAAUAUCUAUGCCGCAGGUGGACCAACCUGGAAGGACAAAUGAGUUUGAUUACUAAUAUUUUGAAACAUCCAGAUAUAUUUAGCCUUGCUGAUUAUCCAUUCCAUCCGGUGUCCAUUGACAUUCUCAAGUCCUUGCCAGAAAGUGAUAACAAAGAGAUAGCCACCUGGAGGUGUCUGUACCUGGUUGAACUGCUGUUGUAUGCAUCUGAGCGAGGCUACUACAUGCAAGUCCAUGAGCUGUUCAAGUUUCCUUUACAGCAUUGCCCUGACAUUUUGAUGCUCGCCUUGUUGCAAAUAAAUGCACCAAUCACUGUAUUUCAACAGGAAUUGCUGUCUACUUUAAUACCAAUAUUUUUAGGCAACCACCCCAAUUCUGGAAUCAUUUUGCAACAUGCGUGGCAUUCACAGAAUCCGAACAUCAAACCAAUUAUCAUGCAUGCAAUGGCGGAAUGGUAUAUACGCGGAGACAGUGAUCAAUCCAAGUUAUCAAGAAUCUUGGAUGUGGCUCAAGACUUAAAAGCUUUAUCGCUGCUACUGAAUGUCCAGUCUUUUCCCUUUGUUAUUGACUUAGCUUGCCUUGCAUCAAGAAGGGAGUACCUUAAAUUGGAUAAAUGGUUAACUGACAAAAUACGAGACCACGGUGAAACUUUUGUCUCUGCUAUGGUUAAAUUUUUGCAGAGAAGAUGUCCACCAGUGAUGGGGAAACCACCAGAAGAGCAGUUGCCCAAAGCCGCGCAGUUGCCCCCGGAGACUAUUGGCACCAUGCUGACCUGUUUGCAGCUCUGCGCUCCAAAUGUCGUCCAGGAAUUGCAGGAAGCUAUCUAUAAUGUGGUAGCGACCUGCCAGACUUUAAUCAUUAAUAAAACAAGACAAACGAUGGCGGGAAUUGCUCGUCCUCAUACAAGAGUCAUUGAAACACCGUUUAACCCUGCAGCUUUGGGAGGGCAACUUUUCACUCCGCAUGUCGAUUCGAUAGCUAAUCUUACUCCGAAUGUCGCUAAUAUGACCUUAGGCGCACCAGCAAAUACCGCAUUCGCAAUGCCUGGCACUUUAGGGCCUUUAGUGCCACCCCCUGGGUCUCCUUCUCGAUUGCUAGGACCGGGGCCUAACAGCCCUUACCCCAUGAUGGCAAUUCCGCAUAAUCCUAACAUUCCCAAUAUGGGCGCUUUACGAAUGGCGCAAAUGCCUCCCAUGGAUAAAUUUCGUUUACCCGAUCAGAUUCAUUUCCCUGAAAUUAUGCACAAUGUUUCAAAAGAAAUCGAGGAUGAGGCAAAUGGCUAUUUUCAAAGGAUAUACAACCACCCCCCACACCCUACUCUGUCUAUAGAUGAGGUGCUAGAAAUGCUAAAGAAGUUUCAAGAUUCGCCAAAUAAAAGAGAGCGAGAAGUAUUUUCAUGCAUGCUUAGGAACUUAUUCGAGGAAUACAAAUUCUUCCCGCAAUAUCCCGACAAAGAACUUCAUAUUACCGCUCAAUUAUUUGGUGGUAUCAUUGAAAAGGGUCUUGUUCCGACUUACGUGUCGUUGGGUUUAGCCUUGCGAUUUGUUUUGGAUGCGCUUCGGAAGCCGGAGGGCUCUAAAAUGUAUUACUUUGGUAUAGCUGCGUUGGACAGAUUCAAAUCACGUUUAAAGGACUAUCACAAGUACUGUGAGCAUGUCCGUGCUAUACCACAUUUUAGUGAAUUCCCUCCGCAUCUGAUUGAGUAUAUCGAAUAUGGACUGCAGAGUCAAGAGCCGCCCACAAAGCCUCAGGGUGCCGUGUUGCCCGCUAGUCUGGCCGCUAUGUUGAGUCAAAAUACUGUUGUCACGGUUUCCGCGCCAUACAGGACCGUGGUAGGUGCCCCGAACCCCAUGAGCGUGAUAUCCAAAAUGGCGAACUGCGUGGCCGGCGGCAUCGGCAGUCGGCCGUCCAUCGCCAUCGCCACCAACAUCGACACGCUGCUCACAGCCACCGAUAGGGAAGAGAAGAUUAACGCGCCCCCAGAAGCUGUACAAGAUAAAACCGCAUUCAUUUUCAAUAACUUGAGCCAACUCAAUCUUCAGACUAAAUGCGAAGAGCUUAAAGAAAGCAUAACCGAAGAAUACUAUCCUUGGCUUUCACAAUAUCUUGUUAUGAAACGGGCAUCCAUUGAAUUCAAUUUCCAUGCCUUGUAUUCUAAUUUCCUAGACGUCCUAAAGGCGCGAGAAGUUAAUAGGCUUGUCAUAAUUGAGACUUAUCGAAAUAUCAAAGUGUUGUUGCGUUCCGAUAAAAGCAUAGCCAACUUUAGUGACCGAUCUUUGCUUAAAAAUCUCGGCCAUUGGUUGGGAAUGCUCACGCUGGCUCGCAAUCAACCAAUUCUUCUCGUUGAUAUUGACCUCAAAACACUUUUACUUGAAGCUUAUCAUAAAGGCCAACAAGAACUCUUGUACGUCGUACCCUUCGUAGCCAAAGUUCUAGAGUCGUGCGCGAGGAGUUCAGCAUUCAAACCACCGAACCCUUGGACCAUGGGAUUAAUGAACGUGCUAGCCGAACUUCAUCAAGAACCUGAUUUGAAGUUGAACCUCAAGUUUGAAAUAGAAGUGCUUUGUAAAAACUUAAGCUUAGACAUAUCAGACUUAAAACCAACUCUGUACCUGAAAGAUCCUGAGAAGCAUAGACUCAUCGAAUUCCAACUAUCCCCACCAAAGAUGAAUAAGGAACCACCUGUAAAUGUUAUUCCUAUGAAUCCAACCAUUAUACAGGCCCCACAGAUGCAAAUGAUGCCACCUCAGCCACCAAUGAUUCCUGUCGAAGAAAUGACCUUGACCGUACCACCUCCUCCUAUUGGCAUCGAUCCCUCUUUAAUGGGAGUCCUUGGAAUACCAGAGCCCCGUUUCAAUUACUUGGACGUAAAUGUCACCUCAACCUCAGCUUUUGGACAAAAAAUUUGUUUCAAUCAUCACAUUCUCCUAUUCCAAACCUAUCCCCAUUUGAAACAGUUUGUUAAACCUGCUAUCGAAAGGUCUAUUCAAGAAUGGAUUCACCCAGUCGUUGAUAGGUCUAUUAAAUACGCCCUGACUACGUGUGAGCAAAUUAUCCGCAAAGAUUUCGCCCUAGAUCCGGACGAGGGACGCAUGCGCACAUGUGCCCAUCACAUGAUGCGCAACCUGACUGCAGGCAUGGCUAUGAUCACAUGCCGGGAGCAGAUCAUCAGCACCAUCAGCACCAACCUGAAAGCAGCCUUCCUCACAGCACUCAUGCCUGCUAAUCCACAACAGCUUGUGUUCCAGAAGGAUAUAGUUGAAAGUGCAGCAGCUGUUAUAGCAACAGAAAACAUGGAAUUAGCCUGUGCCUUUAUUCAAAAAACAGCCGUUGAAAAAGCAUUACCCGAACUUGAUAAACGUCUAAUGAACGACUAUGAAGUUAGGAAACAAGCUAGACUCGAAAACCGGCGUUAUUACGACCCGGUUGUACUGUCAUACCAAACCGAAAAUCUUCCCGAACGAGUGAGACUGCGCAUGGGAGGACCAAUGGACAUGCAGAUUGCUGUAUAUGAAGAAUUCGCUUGCAACAUUCCUGGCUUCAUGCCCGUGAGAGACGCUGGUAUGUUCAUUCCAAAACCCUCCCAAGAACAAAUUCCACAGCUAACUUUUAGCCAAGUUAUGAAUCCAACUCAAGUGUAUGGUACAGAUGAGAUGGGGGCUUUGAUAUCAGCUGCCGAGAUGUUCCUGUCCAAUGCAAUGAAUACACAGAGUUUUCCGGUUCAAGCUACCAAUAUGCACACCCUUCUUGAGUGUCUCGUAAUUGCAAGAAGAAACCGUGAUAUUGUAUCUGGUUGUAACUUACUGCAGAGGGCUGUUGAAGGCUUACUCGAUGGCCACAUUAUUCAAUCUGGAGUCAACGCAGAACACGUUGACCUGAUGACAAGAUAUAGAGAUAUUCACCUGCGUGUACUUAAGCUCUUGGAAGACGCCAGGGUGUACGGACAUGUAUGGACCACGAAGCAGAUCACCUGCUGUCUAACAGAGUGCAGAGAUGAGCUGAGAUACAACAUUGAAGCCGUUGAUUGCCUCAUCCGCAAUCAUCUCAUCAAUAUGCCACAAUAUGACUUAGCCCUCGCUCACCUGAUGGACAAUGGUAAUAAUUACGUAGCUGUAGCCUUCGCAAUGCAGUUGGUGCAACUGUAUCUAGUUGACGAUAGGAACAACAUCUUCGUGAACGAAUCUGAUUUAUACCACACGACCGAAACUUUGGUCCGUAUCAUGGCACAUCCCCAACAACCCCCACCGGAGGGUCUGGCGACAUUGAUCGAAACGUUGAGAAUAAAUCAAGAUCCUAGUGCUUACCUUGGAGAGAGAAUGCCACUUGGACCCACAGCGCACAUACACGCUGGUAUCGCACAAGUCAGGAACCGCGAAUAUGACGACCCGCCCGGCCUUCAAGAGAAGACAGAGAAUGUGCUUCGCGAAUGGCGUACCAUGCUUCUCAGCCCGUUGACGGAUGUCGAAUUUAGCCAAAACUUCAACAUUUAUGUGCACCGAAUGAAUAUUAACGGAAUAUUAAAAUCUGAUGAUAUGGUCACAAGAUUCUUCCGUAUCGCAACUCAGAUGUGCGUCGAGAAUGUGUACCAACUGCUGAACGAGGAAAAAGCCAAUCCUCCAGCGGUCCCAAACAAACGGGAGAAAUACUACGUAAUAUGCGACUCUUUCAUUAAACUGGUCUCUUUACUUAUAAAGAACACCGCCGACGCCGGCAAUCCAACACCCAAACUCAAUCUGUUGAACAAGAUCUUGGGGAUAAUAGCUGGUUGCCUGAUGCAAGAUCAUGAUGACCCCGGGCAUGAAUUCCAUCAGCUGCCGUACCACCGCUUGCUGAUGAUCCUCUUCCUCGACAUGAACAUGGCUGAACCCGUCUUAGAAUCUAUGAAUUAUCAGGUUCUCACUGCGUUCUGCCAUACGCUACGCAUUAUCCGCCCUAGCGUGGCCCCUGGCUUUUGCUAUGCCUGGCUGGAAAUACUAUCACAUCGCGCAUUCGUAAACCGAGUGCUCGCUGUCACUCCACAACAGAAGUUAUACCAUUGUUUCAUUCAGGGCUGGGGAAUGUAUUCAACGCUGCUCAUAGAUCUAUUCAAAUUCCUGGACCCAUUCUUAAGAAACACAGAACUAGCUCCCCCCGUCAUGGCGCUUUACAAGGGGACACUUAAAGUGCUCCUUGUAUUGCUUCAUGACUUCCCUGAAUUUCUUUGCGAUUAUCACUUCGGUUUCUGUGAUGAAAUACCCCCCAACUGCAUACAAAUGCGGAACUUGAUACUAUCGGCGUUCCCGCGCAAUAUGAGACUGCCGGACCCCUUCACGCCCAACCUGAAAGUGGACCUGCUCUCCGAGAUAGCGCUGUCGCCCCGAGCAGUCAUCAACUACGCAACAAUUAUCCCCAUUACACAAUUCAAGAAGGAUCUGGACGCUUACCUCAAAGCCAGGACCCCAGUUACCUUCCUUUCUGAGCUAAGAAGCAACAUGCAGUUCCCGCAGGUGGUUAACGAACCCGGUCGCCGUUACAACACGCACCUGUUGAAUGCUGUGGUCCUGUACGUCGGAGCUCAGGCGAUCGCCUACAUCAGAUCCAAGGGGCAGACACCAAACAUGACGACCAUCGCCCACUCUGCUCACAUGGAUAUAUUCCAGAACUUCACAGUCGACUUUGAUUAUGAGGGACGUUAUCUGUUCUUCAACGCAAUCGCCAAUCAGUUGCGCUACCCGAACAGUCAUACGCACUACUUCAGUUGCUGCCUAUUAUAUCUGUUCGCGGAAGCCAAUUCUGAAGCUAUACAAGAACAGAUCACUAGGAUGCUACUCGAGAGGCUGAUUGUGAACAGACCUCACCCAUGGGGCCUCCUUAUCACGUUCAUCGAACUCAUCAAGAACCCAGUCUACAAGUUCUGGUCACAUGAGUUUGUUCAUUGCGCGCCUGAAAUUGAGAAGCUUGCCAAGCGCCGCAAUGCCACCAGCGACCACCAGCCAGCCCUCCACCUCGUCCGCUCUGCCCAAGCAGUGGAACCAACUGUUCAAGUAAAUCCUUUACAAGGUUUUAACUUUAAUGUUGGUGAGGGUCAGCAGACUAUGGUGAACUCGCAGCCCAAGUGAAAGUGAAGUGAUGUGACACUGUGUGUGAUUGUGAUUUCAAUUCAACAAUUAUUUAGUAUAAUAAGAUGGCCAUGAUAAACAUUACAUUGUAAUCAGUACAGGCACGGACAACUUUAGAUUUAAGUAAAUUUAUUGUCAUUUUGGGGUCUCCAUAGGACUGUUAAAAUUGGAGAUUCAGUAAUAUACUAUAGUAAGUAAUAUACUUCACUUAAAAUGUGAACUUGUCAACUUAUGUAAACAAUAGAUAUUGGAGAUUUAGUAAUAUACUAUAGUAAAUAAUAUACUUCACUUAAAAUUUGAACUUGUCAACUUAGGUAAACAAUAGAUAUUGGAGAUUUAGUAAUAAAUUAUAGUAAAUAAUAUACUUCACCUAAAAUGUGAACUUGUCAACUUAUGUAAACAAUAGAUAUUGGAGAUUUAGGAAUAUACUAUAGUAAAUAAUAUACUUCACUUAAAAUGUGAACUUGUCAACUUA